ensembl:lncRNA novel transcript
AGAGCCUGAGCCCACCAGAGAAAGUCUGUGUGCAGAGGGAGGGCCUCAGGUCCUGCUGCUCCUUCAUCUUGACCCCUUCACACCCUCCUCUAACAGGGACCUCGACCUCCCUUCUCCACUCUCCUGGAUCCUGCUCAGUGUGGUGCAGGCCUUCUCUGGGGCCCUGGAGUUCCCACUGACCUUCAGCCCCGCCAGUUGCAUCUGCUGUUCCCACUGAAGGCCUCAAAGGGCCCUCCCCAGUCUCCAGCUGUCAGCUUUCCCACCUCCACCUUCUCUCCUCCUUUCGGUUCUGCUUCUGAAUUUCUUCAAAAAUUCUCCUGCAUCAAGACUCUCAUGCUAGUCAGUUCCUGCCUGGGGUCACCAGACUGCUUCGAAGUCAGGAAGAACAUGGUGGGGACGGUGACUUGAGUUUCCUGGACCACAGUGCAGCUGCUUCCAGAAGAUAGGGGCUGUGGUGAGAACAGAACUUCCUUUGCUGCGACAUGAACUGCUUCCUCAGAUGAUGGCUGGAUUCCUGUGAAUGUGGAUAAAGCAUUCUGUCAGUCCACAGAUGGUGUUGCUGGCAGAAGCAUUACAGGCAAGGCAGGCAGCUCCAUCAUACUCCAGGGUCACCCCUGUAAUGCUGAGGCUGUCCACUUUUGUGUAUUGCCAGCUUACUGCAUAGGUUCAGCUGUAACCAGGUCUAAGUGUUUUCCUCAGUAAACUGGUCAUAAGGAGCAGUUCAUGAGGUCACAGGCAUGGGGUGAAGGACAGGACACAAUGCAACAGGAGUUUGUGUCAAAGGAAUCUGAAGUGCCUGUUAUGAAAUCUACUCAUAUAUUCCAGACCUACUCAAACUUGAUCUCUUAUAUACCAUGUCCAUUUGAUGAUAGACUGUGCACAUGCCUGAUCUCUUGGCAAGGUCCUGUUCUCUACGAGUGAAUAUCCUAAUGACCAUAAUAAAGCCAGUUCCCUUUUUGGGGACUGACAUUUGUUGAGAACUCCCCCUAUGAAUGCUGUCUUGCUGCAAAACUUCACCUCUGGAUAAAGUGGCUGUGCUCCUUCUGGAUGUCUGCAUCAGGGCUGCUGAGGCACAGCUGAGAAUGCACCACACAGCUGACUACGCUGCUGAGCAAAUCUCAUUACUAAAUGCACAUCCCUUUCAAGGAUGCCAGGCGUUAGGGCUGCAUUGCAACUUUGAUGGACACUGGGGAUUAAUGCCUGUGUGUCCUUGUUCCAUUAAAAAGUUUGAAGUUUGCUGGG